GGGGGGGGGUUACCCAACUCCUACCCCCUAUCUAAUCACCCAACGGCUUGGCUCCGAAGGGUGGUGAGGCUAGUAGGGGGCAGCCUCAGUCCUACCCACAAGCUAGCCAGAGCCUGGACUACUACUACCAAGCCUUGGUUGGCGUUCUAAUCAACUUACCUCUUCAUCCUCACCAAGCCAAUGCUUUAACAAGAGGCCCUCGAUAGGGACAAAAACUUACUCCCUGAACAUCAAGAGCAAGGCUGGGCACGGGAAACAACAAGAGGGAUAGGAGGAGAUGUAAGGAGUGUCUGAUUGCAGGGUGACAGUCCUCUGUGACAGUGAGGUAUGCGCGUAGUCUUGCCUAGCCGACAAGCAAGGGCUAGUGCUGGGAGAUCCUUCCACUGGUAAACCUUAGGCAAGGGCCCAACAUCCCCGAGAAACCAUUAGCACUAACCAUCGGGAGAAGUAGAGAGCAGAAGACAUGACAUGGGGAUGUUCUAGAAUAGCUACAGAUCUAGUAGGGGGGACAUGUGCCAUAUGGACGACACUGUAGGCUGCCAGCCCAGCCCAGCUCAAUCCUUUCCAAUCCAAUCUCUUCUGCUCCACUAGCAGGGGCCAGGGCCAAGUCCCGGGGCUUCCUGCUCUUGGGCAUCAGCUGCUGGCUCUCCCUCCCAAUGUGGUCUCCAUACAGGCUCCUGGGUAGCAAACCCCAGGAGCCAACCCAGGAACAUCCCAGUAUGGCUUCUUGUAGGACCCCAUAUGUGUCUACCUGUGGGGUGUCCCGACUGCUAUCACAUUCCAACGAGGAGGGGUCAUCCCCUCAGUGAGCCUCUGGUCAGGAGCUGAGCCUGCGGUUCAGCUCCACUAAGACCCCAGGGAUGUGCUUCCUUAUGAGUCUCUGCCAGGGGUGUGACCCAUCCGAGGUAUCCUUAAACAUAGUAUGAAUGGCUUUGGGAAGUGAACAGUCUUCCAGAUAGGUCUAAAGUACUUCCUCCCGCCAUGAGUUUUCUCAGAGGAGCCUGGGCAUAUUCCAGGUUGGGCAGGGCCUACAAAGGAGCCGACCUUGAGGACCUUCUCCAACCCAAGGUGACACAUGCCCUCCUACACCACCCCUGACUGGUCUGAGCAGCCAAGGGAGGGAGGUGGUGGAGCUGCCUGGACUUGCCGCCCCGCCCUCCUGGAGUUCUCAGCCCCGCCCUCCUGGGGUUCUCAACUCGCAGCCCGGAAGUGGGUCCCUCUCCCCUGGCUGCUUCAGUCUCCCCUUCUGCUUUAGCCUCCUCUUUGGGUAGCUGGACUCGCUGGACGGCUGGAUAAUCCAAAAUAAUUCCUCCUUGGCAGGCAGCCCGUGGGGGAGAGGGGAACUCACAUUCCAAACUCUUGUUUUUCUAACUAACUUCCCUCAGUUCCUGGGGCUAGAAACCUCUGCCCAGUCCUCGGGCCUCCCCACUUCCAUGGGAGGUUGUGCGAGACUUGGUGGCUGAAACUCUGUAGUCUACCUGGUUAUUUAGUCUAGCAGCUUCGAUACAAUACAAUAAGGUUUGGCACAUUCCACAAAACAACUCACGCGUUGGCCCUACCUUCCUAGGAACUUCACCUCCUGACCAAAGAGCAAGGACUCAGGCCAUUGGCAGUCCAACUUUCUGAUUACAUUCCCUAUGUACCAAGAUAGCAUCCGGAUGUGGGAUCGAGCUGACAGCUUCCACCUUCAAGGCGUGUGUGAGCAGUCUGAGAAGUUCAACUUUAAAACCACCAAUACAGACUGAAGAGAGACGUUAGAGGGGGCACUCCCCAAGGCAAAUGAGGGCCCUGAGGGCCUCCGCUCCUCAGAACGCGACACUGGCUUUGAGACCUGGUUUCAGCUACAGUUCUGACCAGCACCACCAUGGUGGCCACAAUCCGACCUCCCUUCCUGCCUUCUUCAAGGAACUAGAAAAAGGAAUUAAGUGACGUGGCCAGAAACUCUAGGAUUCUUAGGCUCAGAAGCCCCCAGAUAGGGAGAAAAGACCCACCCCCACACAAAUCUGUCACACAGUCAGACCAGAGGAAGCAUGAGAGCUCACUGAAGAAGGUAUGUGGAAGUGAAGUAGACUGUGAAAAGGCACCUACAAGUUCUAAGCCCUCUGUAUCUUAGGUGUCUCUCCAAACACAACAACAAACUACACUAGAAACUUGCAGAGGAAACCUUGUCGGGAGGCGUGGGGCCUCACCAGGUACUACUGGGUGUUGGUUCUCUCUGUCUCUUGUUCCCUGUCCCAGAAGGUGUGGGGACUGCUUUGGUUGGGCACCCCUGUAAAAAGCCCCAGCAGAGCCCAGCGUCGGAACAGGCUUAGCUUGAGAACUGGGGCCUGGAGGUCCGGCACGACAGAUGACUAGCUCUGGUCCAUCGUUUCGGCGGUGAAGAGCCGCUCAGUCUCCUUACUGAAUGUUCUCAUAGCUGGAACUCUGCCUCACUGCUCUCCUUCCCGGUCCCCUGGCCUCACGUAUCUAGGUCUUACCGGCCUCCAAGUCUUCAAUGUCUAUAGGGUAGGACUAUACCCUAGGGCUCCUACUUCUGGCCUCCCAAGUUGUCCAUACUGUGAUCCCUUGGUUUAGUAACAUGGUGGUGAUCUCACUGUCUCAGGACAAGGUUUGGUACUAGUCUCCAAACCCCAACUCACACUCACCUUGGAUAUCUCUCCUCCAUCCAGAUUUGCCCUCCUUUUUUUUUUUUUUUUUCAGAUUUGCCCUCCUUGAUACUGACUACUUCUUAUUUCUUCAGGCAUCUCCUCCCCAGCUUUGGGAAUCUGCCUCAAUUCUAUGCCCUCCCCAACUUGAAAACUUCACAAAUCUGAGGACUUCACUGUUUAAGGAAGUUGAACUUGCCCCAUCUCUAAGCAGCCAAGCUUGAAUGAAUCACCUUCUCCCCUCCACCAGCAACACUUCCCCACCCACCCACACACAUACAAGGGACUCCAAAAUAUCCAGUGAUUUCAACACUACCCCCCAACACACACACACACACAAAACUCCAAAAUAUCCAGUAACAGGGGCUGCAAACUUUGUAUCAAAAAUAUUAAAAGACAAGUAUUGUAUAACAAAGAUAUUUUAAUAACAAAGUUGUGGGAAGGCCAGUAUUCUGAAAUGAGUAGGGCUCAAAAUAGAAGGCAGGAAGCUGGAGGGUAAAAGAGUCCUCCUAUCCUUCCGGUCUGUCCCAGGGGCUGGCUGCCUCAUGACCUCCACCCAACCCUCCUAGAUCCCCUGAAUGCUGGCUCACUGCUCUCUCCAACUUGCCACACAAGGGAGCUCUGGGGAUCACAGCCUCCAGGAUUAGUUUUUCACUAUCCAGGCAUCUAAACUGUAAGGGCCCUUUGGGUUGGGGGAGGGGAGCACCUUUUUGGAGCCAUCUGUCUCUUCUUCCCUCCAGGCUCUCUGCCCUUGGCAGGGAUGGGAAGAGAUGGGCUUAAGCCUACUUUGGACAGAAGCUCCGCUAACUCCGCUGAGCCCAUCCUGGGAGUGCAGGAGUGGGAAAGGAUAUAGCUGGUAGAAGGCCCCAGGCCGUACACUCUACCAAGUAACCUGGACAAGCCCCUCAAGGACACUGGAACUUUCCUCAUUCCUACGUAUCAGCCUUGGGUUCAUGUUCUAGGCAGCACUGUUAUACAUAGCCUUCUCCCCUCCUCUGCCCCAAAUCUGUCUGCUGAUUCCCAUGUCCAGAGGAUGACCAACUAACUGUCACGGCAGAAGCUGGUUAUGGUGGCCGAGGUCCAUGAGGGCCACCCUGAAGGUUAUUGUGUGACAGUUUUCAGAAAGUCAAGUGGAGACCACAAGAAACACAUUGCAGUGGUAUUUGAGAUGUGCAUUUUAGGAUGGAGCCGCUGAGACCAAGGGGGCUUAGACCUGGCCACUGUGCACUUGGAUAGGAGGGUGGGCACACCCAAGGCACAGUCCCCACAGCCUGGGAGCUCCAGCUGUCACAGUGGAUGGUGCCAUGUUUCUGAAGAUCCCUUAGAGACCAGGCUCUUGGUGGUGAGGCUGGCACCUCUGUUCCAGGGAGUGCGAACACCUUUCUUCCUAAUGACAAGGUCUCCACUUCAACCUGCUUUUGCUCAGUUUUCUGUCUACAUCCUUGGAUACUGCAUUAGACUGACCUAGAUGACUAUGUACCUUCGUGUAUCUAUCUGGUCCGUUUGCUCGCCUGUAGAGUGGAUACAGUGUGACAAGCUGUCAUAGGCUAAGGUCAGGGGUAAACAACUGAACC
rnacentral:sRNA from 1 species